GCUGGGUGCAGUGAUGCAUGCCUGUAGUCCCAACAGCUCAGGAGGCUGUGGCAGGGGAUCACAAGUUCCAGGGCCAGCCUCAGCAACUUAGCGAGGCCCUAAGCAACUUAGUGAAACCCUGUCUCUA
rnacentral:sRNA from 1 species